UUGACCUCAAAUCAGGUAGGACUACCCGCUGAACUUAAGCAUAUCAAUAAGCGGAGGAAAAGAAACUAACAAGGAUUCCCCCAGUAACUGCGAGUGAAGCGGGAAAAGCUCAAAUUUAAAAUCUGGCGGUUUCACCGUCCGAGUUGUAGUUUAGAGAAGUGUUUUCCGCGUCGGACCGUGUAAAGGUCUCUUGGAAUAGAGCGUCAUAGAGGGUGAGAAUCCCGUCUUUGACACGGACACCCGGUGCUUUUGCGAUACACUCUCAAAGAGUCGAGUUGUUUGGGAAUGCAGCUCAAAAUGGGUGGUAAAUUCCAUCUAAAGCUAAAUAUUGGCGAGAGACCGAUAGCGAACAAGUACCGUGAGGGAAAGAUGAAAAGCACUUUGGAAAGAGAGUUAAACAGUACGUGAAAUUGUUGAAAGGGAAACGUUUGAAGUCAGUCGCGUCCGCUGAGGAUCAGCCUUGAUGGUGCACUGCUCAGUGGACGGGCCAG
rnacentral:rRNA from 1 species